rnacentral:lncRNA from 1 species
AGACGAAUUCAUGGCACAAUCCUGUCAGAUUCCAGUGAAUCUGUGAAUUCUGCU